rnacentral:RNase_P_RNA from 1 species
GGAGUCGGCCAGGCAGUCGCCCCGGCGCCGGUCGCCGGGGAGGAAAGUCCGGGCUCCACAGGGCAGGGUGCCAGGUAAUUCCUGGGCGGCGUGAGCCGACGGAAAGUGCCACAGAAAACAUACCGCCGCGGAUCGCUCCGCGGUAAGGGUGAAAAGGUGCGGUAAGAGCGCACCGCGCUGCCGGUAACGGCGGUGGCAGGGCAAACCCCACCUGGAGCAAGACCGAAUAGGGAUCCCCAGGCGUGGCCCGCGUCGGAUCCGGGUAGGUUGCUUGAGGCGUCCGGUGACGGGCGUCCCAGAUGAAUGGCUGUCCUCGACAGAACCCGGCUUAUCGGCCGGCUCCCGCC